rnacentral:rRNA from 1 species
CCUACGGGAGGCAGCAGUAGGGAAUAUUGCUCAAUGGGGGAAACCCUGAAGCAGCAACGCCGCGUGGAGGAUGACGGUUUUAGGAUUGUAAACCCCUUUUGUGAGAGCAGAUAAUGACGGUAUCUAAAGAAUAAGCACCGGCUAACUCCGUGCCAGCAGCCGCGGGAAUACGGAGGGUGCACUCGUUACUCGGAAUAACUGGGCGUAAAGCGUGCGCAGGCGGGCUUGUAAGGCAGAUGUGAAAUCCUGUAGCUUAAACACAGAACUGCAUGUGAAACUAGUAGUCUAGAGUGUGGGAGAGGUAGGUGGAAUUCUUGGUGUAGGGGUAAAAUGCGUAGAUAUCAAGAAGAACACUGAUUGCGAAGGCGGCCUACUGGAACACUACUGACGCUCAUGCACGAAAGCGUGGGGAGCAAACAGGAUUAGAUACCCGUGUAGUC